rnacentral:ncRNA from 2 species
GUACCAUCCCGAGCGGCCGAGAGAUCUGGCUCGUCGACGCCGCAGCAACCCAGGGAGGGACACCUUUGCAAGGGUGUCUUUUCGCCGGGUGCUACCGCCAGGAUCGAUGGGAG